rnacentral:rRNA from 1 species
GGGAUGGACGUACCUCCGGUGCACCAGUUGUUCCGCCAGGAGCAUAGCUGGGUAGCUGUGUACGGAUGUGAGAAACGCUGAAGGCAUCUAAGCGUGAAACGCACCUCAAGAUGAGAUAUCCCAUAGCACAAGCUAGUAAGACCCCUUGAAGACUACGAGGUUGAUAGGUCACAGGUGGAAGUGCAGUAAUGUAUGCAGCUGAGUGAUACUAAUCGGUCGAGGGCUUGAACUA